rnacentral:rRNA from 1 species
UAAGCGGAGGAAAAGAAACUAACUAGGAUUCCCUUAGUAACGGCGAGUGAACCGGGAUGAGCUCAAAUUUAAAAUCUGGCGUCUUUCAGGCGUCCGAGUUGUAAUCUAUAGAGGCGUUUUCCGCGCCGGACCGCGUCCAAGUCUCUUGGAAUAGAGUAUCAAAGAGGGUGACAAUCCCGUACUUGACGCGACAACCGGUGCUCUGUGAUACGUUCUCAAUGAGUCGAGUUGUUUGGGAAUGCAGCUCUAAAUGGGUGGUAAAUUCCAUCUAAGGCUAAAUAUUGGCGAGAGACCGAUAGCGAACAAGUACCGUGAGGGAAAGAUGAAAAGCACUUUGGAAAGAGAGUUAAACAGCACGUGAAAUUGUUAAAAGGGAAACGAUUGAAGUCAGUCGUGUGAAAGGUAUUCAGCCGUCUCUGGCGGUGUAUUUGCCUUUCACGGGUCAACAUCAGUUUGAUCCGGUAGAAAAAGGCGGGAGGAAGGUGGCACCCUCGGGUGUGUUAUAGCCUCCUGUCAUAUGUGCCGGACCAGACUGAGGAACGCAGCUUGCCGCAAGGCCGG